rnacentral:rRNA from 1 species
GGCGUGCCUAAUACAUGCAAGUCGAACGCACUGACGUCGACAGAAGGUGCUUGCACUGGAAGUUGAUUGACGUGAGUGGCGGACGGGUGAGUAACACGUGGGUAACCUGCCCUUAAGCGGGGGAUAACAUUUGGAAACAGAUGCUAAUACCGCAUAAAAGUUGAGAUCACAUGGUCUUAAUUUGAAAGACGGCCUUUGGCUGUCACUUAAGGAUGGACCCGCGGCGUAUUAGCUAGUUGGUGAGAUAAUAGCCCACCAAGGCGAUGAUACGUAGCCGACCUGAGAGGGUAAUCGGCCACAUUGGGACUGAGACACGGCCCAAACUCCUACGGGAGGCAGCAGUAGGGAAUCUUCCACAAUGGACGAAAGUCUGAUGGAGCAACGCCGCGUGAGUGAAGAAGGUUUUCGGAUCGUAAAACUCUGUUGUUGGAGAAGAACAGGGACUAGAGUAACUGUUAGUCCUUUGACGGUAUCCAACCAGAAAGCCACGGCUAACUACGUGCCAGCAGCCGCGGUAAUACGUAGGUGGCAAGCGUUGUCCGGAUUUAUUGGGCGUAAAGCGAGCGCAGGCGGUUUCUUAAGUCUGAUGUGAAAGCCUUCGGCUUAACCGAAGAAGUGCAUCAGAUACUGGGAAACUUGAGUGCAGAAGAGGAAAGUGGAACUCCAUGUGUAGCGGUGAAAUGCGUAGAUAUAUGGAAGAACACCAGUGGCGAAGGCGGCUUUCUGGUCUGUAACUGACGCUGAGGCUCGAAAGUAUGGGGAGCGAACAGGAUUAGAUACCCUGGUAGUCCAUACCGUAAACGAUGAAUGCUAAGUGUUGGAGGGUUUCCGCCCUUCAGUGCUGCAGCUAACGCAUUAAGCAUUCCGCCUGGGGAGUACGACCGCAAGGUUGAAACUCAAAGGAAUUGACGGGGGCCCGCACAAGCGGUGGAGCAUGUGGUUUAAUUCGAAGCUACGCGAAGAACCUUACCAGGUCUUGACAUCUAGCGCCAAUCCUAGAGAUAGGACGUUCCCUUCGGGGACGCUAAGACAGGUGGUGCAUGGUUGUCGUCAGCUCGUGUCGUGAGAUGUUGGGUUAAGUCCCGCAACGAGCGCAACCCUUAUGAUUAGUUGCCAGCAUUUAGUUGGGCACUCAAAUCAGACUGCCGGUGACAAACCGGAGGAAGG